rnacentral:rRNA from 1 species
GGGGAAUUUUGGACAAUGGGCGAAAGCCUGAUCCAGCAAUGCCGCGUGGAGGAUGAAGGCCUUCGGGUUGUAAACUCUUGUCUUCUGGGACGAUAAUGACGGUACCAGAGGAGGAAGCCACGGCUAACUACGUGCCAGCAGCCGCGGUAAUACGUAAGUGGCAAGCGUUGUCCGGAUUUACUGGGCGUAAAGGAUGCGUAGGCGGAUAUUUAAGUGGGAUGUGAAAUACCCGAGCUCAACUUGGGUGCUGCAUUCCAAACUGGAUGUCUAGAGUGCGGGAGAGGAGAGUGGAAUUCCUAGUGUAGCGGUGAAAUGCGUAGAGAUUAGGAAGAACACCAGUGGCGAAGGCGACUCUCUGGACCGUAACUGACGCUGAGGCAUGAAAGCGUGGGGAGCAAAC